AAACAUGUAUUGGGGAAUGCUUAAUUUUAUGUAAAACGGCAUUUCAUAUAAAAGGAGGCUGGAAUGUGGCGAUCUUUCUCUUUAUUAUCAGUGAUCCUUGAACGGAGUAGAAGUAGCGCGCGUGUGUAAAAAGUGAAUAUUGAGGAUCAGUUAAACAUUAAAAAUUGUGUUAAUAGCUUGUUAGUAAUAGUACGGAAAGUAAUUCGUUAAAAUGUGUUAGUAUGCUAAAGUUAUCAAUACGAUGAACAUACAACAAUACAAUGAACGAACACGACGUUUAACCAAACGUUAAACAAGAAAAAGGUCCUCUCCUGGGACCUUUUUCUUUUAUGUCAUUUCCUGAGUUUCCUGCAGUGUAGUGUCGUAGAUGUGCCAUCCGGAAGGCCGUGCGAGUCGUCCUUGCUCCAGAAUCGGUCUGUGUGACCAUCGCUUCGUUUUGGAGGUAGAUGCCGCGCCCCCAUUGCUUUUGGCCACGAGGUUGCGCAAUGUAAAGCAUCACCCUUCCGACGUCGGCCAUCUUCCGACCCUCGCCAGAAAAGCUCAAUCCAGCAAACAUACCAUUCGACCAGCAGUCCCAAGGUCGAGGUCCGUUACGUCCAUCGAACAACAUCCACAAGUUCAGUCCAGCAACCACCGGUGAAGAUCUAUACCACAAAAAGCAUGCAAGUACCCAUAUUGUGACGUCACUAUCAAUAAUGUUAAUAAAUUGUAAAAUUGAA